rnacentral:rRNA from 1 species
GUGCACGCUGGCGGUAGGCCUAACACCUGCAAGUCGAACGGCAGCACAGUAAGAGCUUGCUCUUCCGGGUGGCGAGUGGCGGACGGGUGAGGAAUACAUCGGAAUCUACUUUUUCGUGGGGGAUAACGUAGGGAAACUUACGCUAAUACCGCAUACGACCUACGGGUGAAAGCAGGGGAUCUUCGGACCUUGCGCGAUUGAAUGAGCCGAUGUCGGAUUAGCUAGUUGGUGGGGUAAAGGCCCACCAAGGCGACGAUCCGUAGCUGGUCUGAGAGGAUGAUCAGCCACACUGGAACUGAGACACGGUCCAGACUCCUACGGGAGGCAGCAGUGGGGAAUAUUGGACAGUGGGCGCAAGCCUGAUCCAGCCAUACCGCGUGGGUGAAGAAGGCCUUCGGGUUGUAAAGCCCUUUUGUUGGGAAAGAAAAGCAGCAGGUUAAUACCCCGCUGUUCUGACGGUACCCAAAGAAUAAGCACCGGCUAACUUCGUG